CUCUCGGAUCACUGUCAAUUCCGUGCCAGUCUCUUCGUUUCUACCAAACCGAGCUCCAAGUCAAUCGCAGAGCGAAUAGUUUCGGUGCCGCGGAUUCAUCGCGUCUCUCAUCGGUCGUUUACCGGUGAAAUUUUUGUGACGUGUCAGUGUUUCUCCCGUUGUCGAUGUAAACCGAUUUUUACAUUAUCCUUUUUUUACAUCCCAGUAUACCGCGGCGUGGAAAGGAAGGAAGACGAUCAAAAGAACUUUCCGGGAUUUUUUGGCAAGGAUGGGUUCGGGGAUCUCGAAUGGGAUUGGCAACCAGACAUGAGUCAAGUCAAACCAACCAGCGGACUUGAAGUAUUGGCCCGCCUCACGAGAGAGAAUCCAGGAGAAAUUUCCUUGGUUGGUCUAGCACCCUUGACGAACAUUGCAGAGGCAAUGAAAGUGUACCCGGAUAUUUCCUCCAAUCUCAAGGAGAUCCUCAUCAUGGGCGGUAACGACCCUGGUAUGUUUUCAUUGAAAAUAAUUUGCAUAAUGUUUUGAUACUUACUCACGUUUACGAAGGGGGUUAAACUUCAAAAAGUUUCGAAAAUUGUCCCAGAAUAA
rnacentral:lncRNA from 1 species